CUGAGAUCAAGAGCUGGACGGUUAACUGAGCCACCCAGGUGCCAACAACACUUGCUGCUUCCCCUGUGACUCCACGUGGCACAUGGGUAUCCCCCUCUAGGACCUUCUUUUUCUCAGAAAGUGAGUGGAGCAUGAGGGAGAAAACCAUGGAAAAGGAACUCAUGGAAUACGAGAAACAGGAGAUCAGCCCAGGAAAGAGGCAAGAGCAAAUGCCUGUGCCACAGCUGCCCAGCAGACCUGGAGAGAAAUCAGUCCCAAACAGAGCAGGAGAACAGAGAACAGCCAGGUAGGGGAAUGUCGCCAAGAAAAUAAACAAGUAAAUAAAAAGAAAUGGGUAGACUAUCUGAUGUGUUUGAAUCUCUUGAGAGGAAAUUUCGGUUUCUGUCAGAGAUUUUGUGGAUCAAUUGGUGAUAAAUACACAGAAAGUGAAGUGUAGCCAAUUUGUUGUACAGAUGGGAACUGUGGGUGUAGGAAGAAAAGAAGUUUAUUCUUGGAAUUGUUCUUCCCCCAUGCACUUGAAUGAAGUCUAGGGCAAGUCUCAUGGCUUUUUUAGUCACUCUCAGGUAAUAAAAUUGUCUCAGUCACUGAAAACCUCCAAACAGCCUCAGUUCAGUAACUUAA